rnacentral:rRNA from 1 species
GACAGAGGAGGCAAGCGUUAUCCGGAAUUAUUGGGCGUAAAGCGUUCGUAGGUGGUUUGACAAGUCUGGGGUUAAAGCCCGGAGCCCAACUCCGGAUCGGCCCUGGAAACUGUCAGACUUGAGUAAGGUAGGGGUUGCGGGAAUUCCAGGUGUAGCGGUGAAAUGCGUAGAUAUCGGGAAGAACACCAGCGGCGAAAGCGCGCAACUGGGCCAUUACUGACACUGAGGGAAGAAAGCUAGGGGAGCGAAUGGG